GUAGAGUGUUAGAUGUCCUAUUGCAUUUGAAUGCACCGCUCAGCUCACAUGGUCCCACGUGGCGUACCUAGCUCUCAGCAGCCAAUCAGAGGCUACGCAGGCCACGCUCAGCCUGUCGGCUCAGAGGCGAAGCGCAGGCGCGCUGCUCUUCCGGUUCCUUCUGAUCUCAGCCAGAGAAGCGAGGACAGCUGCAUGCUAAGAGGAAGAGAAAACCUCGGAGUUUACCUGUGAAAAGGAAGAAAACAGUUGGAGCACUUACCCACUGGAGGUCCGGAGCCAAGUGACUGAACGAAGGAGAGAGUUACAUCGGCUAACCACUUGCCUUUCACCCAGAGAGCCGCGGCAAGGUCCGACAUCGCCGUGCUCCGCCUUGAUACACAGAAAGCAACGGUCAGGUUUUUUUUGGAGGACUGAAGAGUCUGAGGUUCAGGACAAACUUCCUGCUGUAACAGAUGGCGAGCCAACCACCCUGAAGAAAGAUCAGCACCAAGAAGAUAUCCACGUACCCACUCAUUCACACACACAUUAUACAUUUACAUUACACUACAAAGACCUUUGGAAUCAGGUGAACUUGCAAUAAUCCUACAACAGGAAAACCUGCAACAGCUCCUAUUUUACUUAAGGGCCCCAACGGACAUUUUUUUUGUUUCAAGUGUGCACACUGGGUUUUUCUUAUUGUCUUACUGUUUGGGUUAUUAUUUUGUAUUCUGUACAAAUCAGACAACUUGUUUUAUCCACUUUUAAAAAUUAUACGAGUGGCUACUCAAGUAUUA